rnacentral:rRNA from 1 species
AACGAACGCUGGCGGCAUGCCUAACACAUGCAAGUCGAACGAGAUCUUCGGGUCUAGUGGCGCACGGGUGCGUGACGCGUGGGAAUCUGCCCUUUGGUUCGGAAUAACAGUUGGAAACGACUGCUAAUACCGGAUGAUGACGAAAGUCCAAAGAUUUAUCGCCAGAGGAUUAGCCCGCGUAGGAUUAGCUAGUUGGUGUGGUAAAGGCGCACCAAGGCGACGAUCCUUAGCUGGUCUGAGAGGAUGAUCAGCCACACUGGGACUGAGACACGGGCCAGACUCAUACGGGAGGCAGCAGUGGGGAAUAUUGGACAAUGGGCGAAAGCCUGAUCCAGCAAUGCCGCGUGAGUGAUGAAGGCCUUAGGGUUGUAAAGCUCUUUUACCCGGGAUGAUAAUGACAGUACCGGGAGAAUAAGCUCCGGCUAACUCCGUGCCAGCCGCCGCGGUAA